GGGGCCUUAGCUCAGCUGGGAGAGCACCUGCUUUGCAAGCAGGGGGUCGGGGGUUCGAUCCCCCCAGGCUCCACCA
rnacentral:tRNA from 2 species